rnacentral:rRNA from 1 species
GUGGGGAAUAUUGGACAAUGGGCGAAAGCCUGAUCCAGCCAUGCCGCGUGUGUGAAGAAGGUCUUCGGAUUGUAAAGCACUUUAAGUUGGGAGGAAGGGCAGUAAGUUAAUACCUUGCUGUUUUGACGUUACCGACAGAAUAAGCACCGGCUAACUUCGUGCCAGCAGCCGCGGUAAUACGAAGGGUGCAAGCGUUAAUCGGAAUUACUGGGCGUAAAGCGCGCGUAGGUGGUUUUGUAAGUUGGAGGUGAAAUCCCCGGGCUCAACCUGGGACCUGCCUCCAAAACUGCAUGACUAGAGUACGGUAGAGGGUAGUGGAAUUUCCUGUGUAGCGGUGAAAUGCGUAGAGAUCUGGAGGAAUACCGAUGGCGAAGGCAGCCAUCUGGCCUAAUACUGACACUGAGGUGCGAAAGCAUGGGGAGCAAACAGGAUUAGAUACCCGUGUAGUCC